UUUUUUUUUACAAACCUUAUUCUGAAACAACUUCAAUAUUUGUACGUUUGAUUCCGAAAUUUGCAGUCCAUUUCUAAAUUGUUUGAAACUCUAUAUUCGAUUGUCCAAAAAUGUAUAAAUACGGUCAUCGUCGGUUAUUCGAGAAAUUAUAUAAUUCGUUAUUCUACGGACCUUGCUCUAUUUCUCUUCCCCAUGCUCUUUUUCUCCUCCUCUUUUCCCUAUUAAGAUGAAUUAUUGUCUUUAAUAUAGGAAACUUCAAAACUGAACAUCAAUCACUAUCACUAUUAUUCAAUUUAUUUUAAAUAUUCUUUUAUAUGAAAAAAAUAUUUUAAAAUCUU
rnacentral:sRNA from 1 species